rnacentral:snoRNA from 1 species
GACUUGAUGUGACGAGGAACUCAUCUCGUACAUGCUGCGGGGCCUCGGGUCGGAGUACGAUCCACUUGUGACGAGCAUCACCACGUGCCCUGACGCGUACUCCAUCAGCGACGUCUACGCGCACAUGCUCAGCUAUGAGA